rnacentral:rRNA from 1 species
UAGAUUACUGCUCAGUAACACGUCGAUAAUCUGCCCUAAGGCCCGGGGUAACCUCGCGAAAGUGAGGAUAACACCGGAUAGGGAAAAGGUGCUGGAAAGCCCUUUUCUUUAAACGCAAGGUCUUAGGUCGAGUCGGCGUCCGAUUAGGUAGUUGGUGGUGUAAUGGACCACCAAGCCAAAGAUCGGUAGGGGCAUUGAGAGAUGUAGCCCCGAGAAGGGCACUGAGACACUGGCCCUAGCCCUACGGGGUGCAGCAGGCGCGAAACCUUUACACUACGCGCAAGCGUGAUAAGGGGAUCCAGAGUGCUCAUGCACUGCAUGGGCUUUUGCCGACGGUAAAUACGUCGGCGAAUAAGUGGUGGACAAGACUGGUGCCAGCCGCCGCGGUAACCCCAGCACCACGAGUGGGGCUCGUAUUUAUUUGGCCUAAAGCGCUCGUAGCCGGUCAUGUAAAUCUCUUGUGAAAUCGUUGCGCUUAACGUAACGGCGUGCAGGAGAAACUGCAUGACUAGGGACCGGGAGGCGUAGAGGGUAUUCCAUGGGGAGCAGUAAAAUGCUAUAAUCCAUGGAGGACCACCUGUGGYGAAGGCGCUCUACGAGAACAGGUUCGACGGUGAGGGGCGAAAGCUAAGGGAGCGAUCCGGAUUAGAUACCCGAGUAGUCCUAGCCGUAAACGCCGCGGGCAAGGUGUUGCACAUUCUUCGAGAAUGUGCAGUGUCCGAAGUGAAGGYGUUAAGCCCGCCGCCUGGGGAGUACGGUCGCAAGACUGAAACUUAAAGGAAUUGGCGGGGGAGUACUACAAGGGGUGCGGCGUGCGGUUUAAUCGAAUUCAACGCCGAGAACCUCACCAGGGGCGACGGCAGAAUGAAGGUCAGUCUAAAGGGCUUACCUAACGAGCCGAGAGGUGGUGCAUGGC